GACCUCACGCUAUCAGAGGAGCCUAGAUCGGAUUAGCUAGUUGGUGGGGUAAAGGCCUACCAAGGCGACGAUCCGUAACUGGUUUGAGAGGAUGAUCAGUCACACUGGAAGUGAGACACGGUCCAGACUCCUACGGGAGGCCGCAGUGGGGAAUAUUGGACAAUGGGCGAAAGCCUGAUCCAGCCCUGCCGCGUGUGUGAAGAAGGUCUUCGGAUUGUAAAGCACUUUAAGCUGGGAGGAAGGGCAGUAAGUUAAUACCUUGGUGUUUUGACGUUACCAACAGAAUAAGCACCGGCUAACUUCGUGCCAGCAGCCGCGGUAAUACGAAGGGUGCAAGCGUUAAUCGGAUUACUGGGCGUAAAGCGCGCGUAGGUGGUUCAGCAAGUCGGAUGUGAAAUCCCCGGGCUCAACCUGGGAACUGCAUCCAAAACUACUGAUCUAGAGUACGGUAGAGGGUGGUGGAAUUUCGUGUGUAGCGGUGAAAUGCGUAGAUAUAGGAAGGAACACCAGUGGCGAAGGCGACCACCUGGACUGAUACUGACA
rnacentral:rRNA from 1 species